AAUGUAACGUCUCGGGCCGUCUCUCUCCCAUCCCACACGACACAGGCAGAAGAGGCUCGCUGCUGCAGCGUCGGCAGCCACUCAAAAAUCACCCUGCUUUCUUCUCGCACCCGAUUUGAAGCUUCUACAUGGAACGCCUAGGGCUCGCGGCAGCAGGAGAAGAAGACAAGCCGCGGUAGGCAUCGAUCGAAACCAGCCGGGAGAGAGAAAAAAAAUCGAGGGCACCAAGCCAUGGCCUUCCUCCUCCCCAAGCUCACCACGCCGCCCUGCAGGUCGCCGCCGCCGCCCAGCCCUCUCAAGCCCCAGCUCGGCCUGCCCAGCCACGGCGCCGGCGCAAGGAUCCACUGCUCCGGCGCGGCGCCGGCCCACCUCAACCUCCCGCUCCUCCUCAGCGCCUCGCAGCAAGAAGCCCCCGCGGCCAAGUCCGCCGAGGCCAGGAACAGGGCCGCGAGCGGCGGCGGCGGCGGGGGAGACCCGCGAAGGUCGGAUUUUUACCUCAAUCUUGGGGCGGCGGUGCGCGCGCUGCGGGACGACCUGCCGGCCGUGUUUCUCCGGGAGCCCAACUACGACAUCUACCGCGAAGACAUCACAUUUGUUGAUCCGUUGAACACUUUCCAUGGGAUUGACAACUACAAAACAAUCUUCUGGGCUCUCAGAUUCCACGGGCGUCUACUAUUCAGUGAAAUUGGGCUUGACGUAUCACGCAUUUGGCAACUAACAGAAACCUCGAUAGUUGUCCGGUGGGAACUGUGGGGCACACCGCGUGUCCCGUGGGAAUCAUAUGGCUGCUUCAGUGGCACAUCCAGGUACAAAGUCGACAGGAACGGGAAAAUUUACGAGCAUAAAGUCGACAAUCUGGCAUUGGACUUCCCCCGGCCGGCUGUCAAAGUGGGUAGCAUUACUAACUUAGUAGUUGCUGCAUACCCACCGAGCCCCAAUCCAACUUUCUGGGAUGUAGUUGGGACAGGCGAUGGAUGCUCAUGGACAAAGCUUUACCGGGCGGUGCUGGAGACAGUAGAGCGGGAAGGUGACAUUCCAGCAGGCAUUUGCAUGGAAGCUGAGGCUCUUCUGAGUUGGAAGGCUAGCUUGGCCGGUGCCGAUGAGUCGCUAAGCUCAUGGUCAUGGGCCAACUCCACCAGCGUCUGCCACUGGAUGCACAUCAGUUGCAACUCUGCCAGGAGCACCAUCAUCAAGCUCAACAUCAGUGGUGCGAGUCUGAAUGGCACACUUGACAAGUUUGACUUCUCGGCUUUCCCCAACCUGAAGAAGCUCAUACUAUUUCAGAACGGUCUGCAUGGCAACAUUCCAGAAGGGAUCGGUGGCCUGACAAGCCUGGCGCGGUUGCGGAUCAGCAGCAACCGGUAUAUAACUGGUACAAUUCCCCGUGGCAUUGGCCGGCUGAAGCAGCUCACUGAACUGCAACUGGGAGGUUUGGGUCUUGAUGGUGUGGCGCUACCUGAAGAGAUUGGUAACUUGACAAGCUUGACGAAGCUCGCUCUCUACUCAAUCAGUUUGACUGGAUCAAUCCCGCUAACAUUUGGGAGACUGAAGAAGCUCCGGUUGCUGAACCUGAGAAACAACAGUCUGACAGGGCGCAUCCCACCAGAGAUUGGUAACAUGACAGAAUUACACCGCAUGGACUUGACACAGAAUUAUUUACAUGGCCAGAUACCAGGUACAUUCUCUCGUUUGGUAAAGCUAAAUGGCUUGUUGCUGUCAGAAAAUCAGCUUGGAGGUGACGUCAUGCUUGAGCUAGGGAAUAACAGCGUCCUGUGUUACAUCGACAUUGCAAAAAACAGCUUCUCUGGCCUCUUCCCGCCAUCCAUUUGUGCGGGGGGAGCACUGAUUACCGUCAUUGCUGCAUACAAUGGGUUUACGAGCCUUCGGAACCCGACCUUUCAGAAUUGCACAAGACUGAAGUGCAUUGACUUCAGGGAAAACAACAUUGUUGCAGACCUAAGGGGUUGUUUUGGCAAGCCUCUAGAACAACUUCGGGCGAUGGCUUUGAGGCAAAACCAACUGUAUGGCACACUCCUAACAGAUCAGGGUGAGGUAUUCCUCUGCAACUCUACUGGGUUAACACUUCUGGACCUAUCAAACAAUGCCUUACACGGAGAUCUCUCCAACUCCAAGUAUUUAUGGAACAUGCCGCAUUUGGAAUUCAUGGAUUUGUCCAGCAACUCGCUCAGUGGUGUGGUUCCAUCCUCGAGCGACCCCUAACCAGAAUCUUCAGUCUCUGCACCUAGCCAAUAACCAUUUCAGUGGAACCUUUCCUUCGGUUCUUGAGAAAUGCAAGAAACUUAUCACUCUAGAUCUGGGAGGCAAUAAUUUCUCAGGUGGAAUACCUUCUUGGAUAAGUAAGAGCUUGCCUGAACUAAGAUUUCUUCGGCUGUCGUCAAACAUGUUUGACGGCAUCAUACCCUCACAGAUACUACAAUUUCGUCAACUCCAGCUAUUGGACCUGUCAAAAAACAAGUUCACUGGACGGAUUCCAGCCAUUUUUUUGAACUUUACUGGCAUGAUGCAAGAACAGAAAAAUGGAAGCAUCACAUACCGCUACCUGUCGCGGGAGCAGCUUCACAUAGUCGUGAAGAAUGAGGGUUAUCUUUACAACUAUACGAUAUCGUUCAUAGUGGGUAUGGACUUAUCUAGCAACUUCCUUUCACAAGAGAUCCCAAAAGGGCUCAUGUCACUUGUUGGACUCAGGUACCUCAACUUGUCAAGAAACCAUCUCUCACAUGGUAUUCCCAGAGACGUUGGCAAUCUGGCAUCGCUAGAAUCCUUGGACCUUUCGGAAAACCAACUCUCUGGGGAAAUUCCUCCAAGCCUUGCAGAUUUGAAGGCCCUCGGCACUCUGAACCUCUCGACCAACGGUUUAUCAGGCAGGAUACCUACAGGGAGCCAGCUGCAGACAUUUAUAGAUCCUUCAAUAUACAGCAAUAAUCCAGGGCUAUGCAGUUUCCCAUUGCAGGACUGUGUAAGCUCAUCUGCAUCAAACCAAAAUCAAAUGAGCCAAGAUAUGGAGACACUCUGGUUAUACUGCUUUGUGGUAGCAGGAGCCAUCUUUGGGUUUUGGUUAUACUGGGGCGUGCUCUUUUGCAAAAAGACAUGGAGAUAUGCGUUCUAUCAAUAUGUCGACGACAUGCAAGGCAAGGUAAUUGACAAGAAAAUAGCUGCAUAUCGCACCUCCAAGCUAAGACAUGAAUGAGGAAGUGCAUCACGAACUCCUUGAGUCGGCCAUGGCGUGUUAUAUUGUCCCUUACUGAUCUACAUUUCUUAGCUUGUAAUUUCUUACAUGACCGAGUGGCACUUCUAAAGUUAGAAGUUGUGCAAAAACAAUUAUGUAACUUUAGGCUUCGGAAUGUGGGCAGUUGCACAUUUCUUAACCUAAAGUUGUGCACAAUUUCUAAAAUGUGCAACUACCUGUUACCAUUGGAUCAAGAUUGUAACUGUCCGCUUAGAUUUACAAAUUGUGGCAGAAAAAAUGCAAAUUGUCUGUAAUAUUUGCCCUUUACUCGCUGAAGAAAACUUAUUAAACUACAGUCGAACUUUUAUGACUUAUAAGGUUCAGUAGGAAUGUUACUGUAGUUUAAUAAGCUAUUCCGUAUGUCAGCAUCACAAAAUUUGCAAACUCAAAUGCUUUGUUUGCGAUAGUGAAGAAAUUUAUUUAGAGAUCUUGAAUGCUUGCACCUGAAUCCAUUGAAUUUGCCUCUGAAAAGCGAUUUUUGUCUUCACUUUUACAA